UACGUAGGUGGCAAGCGUUGUCCGGAUUUACUGGGCGUAAAGCGCGCGUAGGCGGAUACUUAAGUGGGAUGUGAAAUACCUGGGCUUAACUUGGGUGCUGCAUUCCAAACUGGGUGUCUAGAGUGUUGGAGAGGAAAGUGGAAUUCCUAGUGUAGCGGUGAAAUGCGUAGAGAUUAGGAAGAACACCAGUGGCGAAGGCGACUUUCUGGACAAUAACUGACGCUGAGGCUCGAAAGCGUGGGGAGCAAACAGGAUUAGAUACCCUGGUAGUCCACGCCGUAAAAGAUGGGUACUAGGUGUAGGAGGGAUCGACUCCUCCUGUGCCGCCGUUAACACAAUAAGUACCCCGCCUGGGGAGUACGGUCGCAAGAUUAAA
rnacentral:rRNA from 1 species